rnacentral:rRNA from 1 species
AAUAUUUGACAAUGGGCGCAAGCCUGAUCCAGCCAUGCCGCGUGUGUGAAGAAGGUCUUCGGAUUGUAAAGCACCUUAAGUUGGGAGGAAGGGCAGUAAGUUAAUACCUUGCUGUUUUGACGUUAUCGACAGAAUAAGCACCGGCUAACUUCGUGCCAUCAGCCGCGGUGAUACGAAGGGUGCAAGCGUUAAUCGGAAUUACUGGGCGUAAAGCGCGCGUAGGUGGUUUGUUAAGUUGGCAGUGAAAGCCCCGGGCUCAACCUGAAACUGCUUUCAAAACUGGCAGGCUAGAGUAUGGCAGAGGGUGGUGGAAUUUCCUGUGUAGCGGUGAAAUGCGUAGAUAUAGGAAGGAACACCAGUGGCGAAGGCGACCACCUGGGCUAAUACUGACACUGAGGUGCGAAAGCGUGGGGAGCAAAC